UAGAGAUGGGGUUAGUGUUAGUGUUAGAGAUGGGGUUAGUGUUAGGGUUAGAGAUGGGGUUAGAGUUAGGGUUAGAGAUGGGGUUAAUGUUAGGGUUAGAGAAGGGGUUAGAGAUGGUGUUAGAGUUGGGAUGGGGUUUAGUGUUAGGGUUAGAGAUGGGGUUAGAGUUAGGGUUAGAGAUGGGGUUAGUGUUAGUGUUAGUGUUAGAGAUGGGGUAGUGUUAGGGUUAGAGAUGGGGUUAGAGUUAGGGUUAGAGAUGGGGUUAGUGUUAGGGGUAGAGAUGGGGUUAGAGUUAGGGUUAGAGAUGGGGUUAGUGUUAGUGUUAGUGUUAGAGAUGGGGUUAGUGUUAGGGUUAGAGAUGGGGUUAGAGUUAGGGUUAGAGAUGGGGUUAGUGUUAGGGUUAGAGAUGGGGGUUAGUGUUAGGGUUAGAGAUG
ensembl:lncRNA